rnacentral:rRNA from 1 species
GACGAACGCUAGCGGGAGGCCUAACACAUGCAAGCCGAGGGGUAGAAAUUAGCUUGCUAAUUUUGAGACCGGCGCACGGGUGAGUAACGCGUAUGGAACUUGCCUCUAUCACAGGGAUAGCCCAUCGAAAGGUGGAUUAAUACCUGAUAACAUAUAACAUAGCAUUUUGUUAUAUUGAAAGAUUUAUCGGAUAGAGAUAGUCAUGCGUAUGAUUAGUUAGUUGGUGAGGUAACGGCUCACCAAGACAGUGAUCAUUAGGGGGCCUGAGAGGGUGAUCCCCCACACUGGUACUGAGACACGGACCAGACUCCUACGGGAGGCAGCAGUGAGGAAUAUUGGACAAUGGGUGAGAGCCUGACCCAGCCAUCCCGCGUGAAGGACGACUGCCCUAUGGGUUGUAAACUUCUUUUGUAUAGGAAUAAACCUACUUACGUGUAAGUAGCUGAAGGUACUAUACGAAUAAGCACCGGCUAACUCCGUGCCAGCAGCCGCCGCCGUAA